CUCUAAUAUCUAUUCAGAUAGCCUAUUUUAAGGAAUAGGUUCAGUAAAGUAUUAGAUAGUAAAGAAACGGUUUCCCUCGUAAGAAAAUUACGUAAAAAAGAAUCAGCAAAAGCAAAUGUAAGUAGAAGAACGAACAUAUUU
rnacentral:ncRNA from 1 species